rfam:Camelus ferus unplaced genomic scaffold scaffold669, whole genome shotgun sequence.
GAGGGUAGAGCUCAGUGGCAGAGUGUGUGCUUAGCAUGUAGGAGGUCCUGGGUUCAAUCCCCAGUACCUCCA